AGGGCACCACCAGGAGUGGAGCCUGCGGCUUAAUUUGACUCAACACGGGAAAACUCACCCGGCCCGGACACUGGAAGGAUUGACAGAUUGAGAGCUCUUUCUUGAUUCAGUGGGUGGUGGUGCAUGGCCGUUCUUAGUUGGUGGAGUGAUUUGUCUGGUUAAUUCCGAUAACGAACGAGACUCUAGCCUACUAAAUAGAUCGUCGGCUUACAAACGCCGGCGAGACUUCUUAGAGGGACAGGCGGUGAUUCAACCGCACGAAACAGAGCAAUAACAGGUCUGUGAUGCCCUUAGAUGUCCGGGGCCGCACGCGCGCUACACUGAAGUGAUCAGCGUGCUUUUUCAACCUACUCUGUCAAGAGUGGGGAACCCAAUGAACCUUCUUCGUGAUUGGGAUAGGGGAUUGUAAUUACUCCCCUUGAACGAGGAAUUCCCAGUAAGCGCGAGUCAUAAGCUCGCGUUGAUUACGUCCCUGCCCUUUGUACACACCGCCCGUCGCUACUACCGAUUGAAUGUUUU
rnacentral:rRNA from 1 species